GGCCUUUGGUUCUGUGCGGCUGGCGGAGGUCGGUGGCAGCCGGCAGGGACUGGAGGUCGGCGACCUGCGGCAGGCCUGGAGGUAGUCGGCUCGUGGAAGGGUGGUAGGAAGUCGGCGGCCUAAACUGGACUGGGAGUGGCCAAAGACAGUUCGUUUAGCGGCCUGCUGAACGCCGAAGAUUACCGCCUAGGCCACAGGCGACGACGGCGACAUCCUACCCGGUACUUUCGGCGACCCACCCAGCGGAGCGGGUAGUAGAGGCUCGAAAUGUUCUUUCGGAGGAGGGAGGAGUCGAAACUACGUAGCGUCUUCGAGUUCCUUGACCUCGGUUUCUAAAACGACGAUGUCGCGCACUACCUUUAUCAACUCCUCUCGGGAAUGUCCGGAGCAGACGUCGUCGACAAGUUGCUAGAAUUCAGACGAAAGAUGCUUCGUCUCCUGUAGAACUGUCAAGGAUCUCUUUGUCUAUGUUCUACUGAUAGAGUUCAAUCUCCACCGGCGCGGAGCUGCGUUGUUCUUGGUACACUUCUUCGAGAACUGCAGACGGUACUUUUUCACGUUGAAGGACUUUCUAGUCCUCACACCGUACAGUUUUUAGCUCAACUUCGUCUCGGAUCUUUUUUAUCUUUUCCAGUAUUUACUACGUACACCUAAAAAACUUGUCUACUUGAACGGUUUGUUUUCGUUAUGAUUAAACUCGUUUGGACGGUUGAGUGCUCCACGCCAGUGAUGCCGCUCCGGAGGUAGGGACCAUUAGCCUGCUCUAUUUCUAACACUAUUGUAUCAACGUUACGAAGUACUAUUACUUCUUCUACGAGUUGGUUUGUGGUUGUCUCGAGUUACAAUAAGGCAUUAGCCGUAAGUACCGUAGCCACCAAGACCCUUUAGUUGGGAAAGUGUUGAACAAACACGGGCACUCGUUUUCCUACCAGUAAAGUUGGAACAAUACACCCAAGUGCAAAGAGUCCUAAAAUCACACCUAUGGUAAAAGCCCGUCUACAGACUCCGGCGAUCGUCCUGGGGCACGGGAGUCAAGUUAUUAGAACUGUGGAAUGUUUGAUUAAACCUCUUCCAUGACGUACCUUUUGCCAAGGAGAACCAUGAUCUACUACAAACCAUGUUAUUAUCUCUACACUCCGUCAUACUCUUCGACGUUGUCUAUGAAAGUGGCGACUUGCGACCUCUUGGUCCUUCGUUCCAGGACCACUGAUCAUCUUGAUUUCUACGUAACUAUCGAGACCCACGACGUCUCGUCUCUACAUAAGGGUACAGUCAGGAUCCACUUCUACAGAAGGACUUUAACAAGUUCGUGAUACGUAAAGUGUUGCACACGCAACGACGACUACUGGCUUAUUCUGAGCUUCUGUAACGCUGAGUCUAACGUUUUUUCGAUUUCCCCAGUGGAGAUCGCCGGUUUUAACAACCUCCCGUCGAUGCAUACUCCGGUUUGUAACUAAUGACCUCUUUAAGGGCUCUACCCUUGGUAAACCUACUGUGGUACCCUCGAGACACCACCUCGAUGGUUGUAGAACUACUUGUCCAGUCUGCUACGAAACGAAUGACGUCAUAAAAGGGAGCUUCUGCAGAGAACUCUGUUCUACUCGAUCACUUCGAAACCCGACGUCUUCCCAAACGGUCUUCAUCGUUGCUUCCCUUCCUAAGUCUUCUACAAACGGUCCCUAUGAAACUACUUGAUCACAGUCGGAGUAAAGACGUUGUAUUUCAUCUCAAGGUGUGACCAUCUUUCCUGUGAAUAUAUCAAGUACUAAACAACGAACUAAAUCGCCUGUUCCAGCGACCUUCACUAACAAAGUUUUAGCUCUUGUCUACCUUUGCCUCUCCUCUGUCGAACUAUUACCUUCCUCCUGUACUUUUUCUUCAAGGGGAUCUGCGGGCGGUAAAAAUAGAAGUCUGGAUACUAAGUCUUAACUAAUGACUCUUCUAUACAUUUAACCUGUUCGACGCCUGAGAGUAGUAACUGCCGCAUCUACAGUGUUUUGGUCAACUCCUAUUUCACCAGUUCUCAGACAAACACUCCGAUUUCUUCAACGCCCACGAAUAGUAUGGACAGAUAUUACUAGUUCCAUGUAAAAGUCAGGGUCUUACAUAACCAGUCGAUUCCGUAGAUGCCAUAGAUGCCGUAGAAGGAAUACUCUGAUCUGUGCCGUUCUACGACCAAAAUGGUUCGUGAAACUCGUUCGAAAUGGUGUACGUCCAACAUCUAAAAAGACCACAACUUUUUAACCACAAGUUGAGAGCACUGCUGUACAAACCGGAGUAGUUGAACGCUGUGUACCGGCCUUACGGCAAAGACUUCUAGGGUUCUCAACCGUCCUACUGUAACGAAGCUUGCGACGUUUUUAAACUUCACCCUUUCCUCGUUCCCACGCUCAACUUCGUUGAGCCGCCGGACUUGGUCGAAGCGCCGUUUGACUCAUAGCGCCCGGAGCUCUUGCAGUUCUGGGUCGUCCUUCGGGAACUUCGGUUCGACCCGCUGUUUCUUCCCGACUGUUGUAACCUUGACACCACCCCCGCACUAUGCUCUCCUCUCAACUUCUUCGUCCUCCGAGUCUGCCUCCACGACCUCCCAGAGACGGGUGGGUUCGUAGACCUUAGUGACUGAUAGGUGAGAAUGGUACCGAACUCUAUGGGCUCGACCUACUACCCGGUCGUGCUGCCGACGGGUUUCAUAGAGUUGGUUGAGUCGGAGAAGGUAACGUCGUGUCUCGAACCGGUUCUCGAACCACCCAAAACCGGAGUGGAGGCAAGGAAGAUGUACACGGCGACGUCGAGCAGGUGGUACGGCCUAGUGUACCUCGUGGACUGCAGCGAGUUCAUGGACCGGGAGCUGACCACGGGCUUGUAGGCCAGCGAAGGCUGCGACGGCGCAAGAGAACUCGUGAAGCUAGAGUCGAAGACGUUACUCUACGACUACUCAAGUACGUCUUCUCGACCUCUGGGGUUGACCCUUUUCUAAGUCGUGCAAGGAAUACACACACAGUUACUGAAUCUCUGCUACCUUACCUGUGGGACCUGUGCUUCUCGGGUACAUCUACUACCGCCGCCGAGAAGUAGUAGUAGUAGCGGGUUCUGAGGGAGUUCGCACCUCCGGCACACUAGGAAUUUGGACGGACGGUUAUUAUAUGGAGCAGAUAACAUGAUCGUACAACGACUAAAACGCUCAGUCCACCACGACGACGAUGUGCCACGUCUUAAACUACUAGGAACAGUUGUUGAACGUUGAUGAUACAGACAUUAUAUCACUCAUAUUACGACACUUUGGUAUUUGUGACUCGAACGCAUAAAGGGUACCAAACAUUAUAAUAACGUGCUCUCUACGAGUUCUAGGUGUAAAUUAACAAAGGUUAACCAAACGUCAGUUGACGAACAUCAUUAUAAAAGAAGGAACGGGGUUUGGUGUUCUGUAACGAGUUAGGGAUAGAAAGAGAUACCACAUAAAUAAGGGGCACACAACUAAUGUUCCCUGUGAUCACGACGUCGUCUAGUCGUUGUAUAUCGGUUCGUCUGGUGAAAUGUACGUGUUAUACUGACUCUCGAACGGUAGGAUCCAAACCAUAUAAGACUAACGGUAGGUUCCGAGUUCUCCGACUUACCUGGGUU
rnacentral:rRNA from 1 species